rnacentral:rRNA from 1 species
UACGAAGGGGGCUAGCGUUGCUCGGAAUCACUGGGCGUAAAGGGUGCGUAGGCGGGUCUUUAAGUCAGGGGUGAAAUCCUGGAGCUCAACUCCAGAACUGCCUUUGAUACUGAAGAUCUUGAGUUCGGGAGAGGUGAGUGGAACUGCGAGUGUAGAGGUGAAAUUCGUAGAUAUUCGCAAGAACACCAGUGGCGAAGGCGGCUCACUGGCUCGAUACUGACGCUGAGGCACGAUAGCGUGGGGAGCAAACAGG